rfam:TPA: Bos taurus chromosome 16, whole genome shotgun sequence.
UCCCUGAUGGUCUAGUGGUUAAGACUCUGUCUUGCAAUGCAGGGGACAUGGGUUUGAAUCCUGGUCAGGGAA